ncrna:unclassified sequences ssNA-helicase RNA
AUCCAUAAGGGUUAGUAUUACCCUUAUGGAUGAUAGUAGCAUGUAGCA